AUGUGUUAUAGCUUUUUAAGAAUUUGUCUAGCAGAUUUUCCAUUUUUUACUAGAAAAUCCCC
ensembl:snRNA U7 U7 small nuclear RNA